AUUGAACGCUGGCGGCAGGCCUAACACAUGCAAGUCGAGCGGGGUUUUCGGACCUAGCGGCGGACGGGUGAGUAAUGCGUAGGAAGCUGCCCGAUAGAGGGGGAUACCAGUUGGAAACGACUGUUAAUACCGCAUAAUGUCUACGGACCAAAGUGUGGGACCUUCGGGCCACAUGCUAUCGGAUGCGCCUACGUGGGAUUAGCUAGUUGGUGAGGUAAUGGCUCACCAAGGCGACGAUCUCUAGCUGGUUUGAGAGGAUGAUCAGCCACACUGGAACUGAGACACGGUCCAGACUCCUACGGGAGGCAGCAGUGGGGAAUAUUGGACAAUGGGCGCAAGCCUGAUCCAGCCAUGCCGCGUGUGUGAAGAAGGCCUUCGGGUUGUAAAGCACUUUCAGCGAGGAGGAAGGGUUGUGUGUUAAUAACUGCCAGCUGUGACGUUACUCGCAGAAGAAGCACCGGCUAACUCCGUGCCAGCCGCCGCCGUAACAC
rnacentral:rRNA from 1 species